UGACGGUACUCAAUAAGGAAGUCUCGGCUAACUCCGUGCCAGCCGCCGCGGUAAGACGGAGGAGGCAAGCGUUGUCCGGAAUCAUUGGGCGUAAAGAGCGCGUAGGCUGUUUUUAAGCCAUAUGUGAAAACCUCAGGCUUAACUUGAGGACUGCAUAUGAAACUGGAUAACUUGAGUGCAGUAGGGGAAAGUGGAAUUCCUGGUGUAGCGGUGAAAUGCGCAGAUAUCAGGAAGAACACCGGUAGCGAAGGCGGCUUUCUGGGCUGCUACUGACGCUGAGGCGCGAAAGCUAGGGGAGCAAACAGGAUUAGAUACCCUGGUAGUCCCAGCUGUAAACGAUGGACACUAGGUGUGGGAAGUUAUCGACGCUUUCCGUGCCGGAGCUAACGCAUUAGGUGUCCCGCCUGGGGAGUACGGUCGCAAGACUAAAACUCAAAGGAAUUGACGG
rnacentral:rRNA from 1 species